AUUGAACGCUGGCGGCAGGCCUAACACAUGCAAGUCGAGCGAGCGGCGGACGGGUGAGUAAUGUAUGGGGACUGCCCGAUAGAGGGGGAUAACUACUGGAAACGGUGGCUAAUACCGCAUAAUAUCGGAUAACACAUAUGGGCAUAGCGAGUCGGUGGGGUAAAGGCUAACCUAGGCGACGAUCUCUAGAGGGUCUGAGAGGAUGAUCAGCCACACGGGUACGGAGACACGGCCCAGACGCCUACGGAGGCAGCAGUGGGGAAUAGUGCACAAUGGGCGCAAGCCUGAUGCAGCCAUGCCGCGUGUAUGAAGAGGGCCUUAGGGUUGUAAAGUACUUUCAGCGGGGAGGCGUUACCCGCAGAAGAAGCACCGGCUAACUCCGUGCCAGCAGCCGCGGUAAUUC
rnacentral:rRNA from 1 species